UUUCUCAGCCGAGUCUCUCUCUGCUCAGAGUUCGUAUUUUCUCUCCACCCAAACAGAAAAUUUGUUUCUCUCUCAAGCUAUAUCUCUCUCUCCUCCUUCCUAUCAGAAUGUCACUACGAUGAUCUAUAGAGGAAAACGACGAUCUGAAGCGAGAUUUGAAGAUCUCACUCUUACUGUCGGAAUUUCAAAUCCUCUUUCUAGCCCUAGAUCUCUCUCUACAAGAAUAACAAGGGCAUCAAUCAGAUCAACAAUGGCGCCAAGCAACUGCAGGAGGCAAUUUGAGAUUCGAAGAGGUAGUUAACAAUCUAAAUCUCAAUCUCUGUUUGCCGACUCCGAUUCCCGCGCCGCCGCCGACGAAUCUCGUAACUGCGGCCACCGAUUCUCGCGCCGCCACCGCCGAUUGGUUGUUGAUUCUGAAGUUUUAAAAAGAGUUUUUCAGCUUAGCUUCUAGAUUGUGUCAAUUCGUUGCCGACAACCUGAGGAGAUUUGGAGAUUUUUCAUCAUCAGUAAUCUCUUGAGAUUUUUCAUCAUCAGUACUCUCUUUCUCUCUCUAUGGCUCAUCAACUUUGCUCUUAAUUUCUUAUUGGAUUUUAGUGAGGAACAAAAGAAAGACACGGAAAGAAUAAAGAUCGCCAUCGACUCUUGAGAAUAGGAUUUGCUGUUUGAUUAGAAGGAUUAUUACUAUUUGAGCUACUCAGCAACAACUGAAGGAGGUCAAUGUUGGUGGCUUUUUUAUUGGAUUUUGUAUCACUUGUGAAAGAAGGGACUAAUUGACAAAAAGGAAAAUAUGGUGUAGAAGCAGAGAAGAAAGAAGAAAUCCACCAACAUGUUAUGGAAAAAUUGAGCAAGGACCAUGGUGAGAAUUUGUGACUGAUAGACUUUUCAAAAGAAACUUUGUUCUCAUCAACUCUCUGGAAAGGACAUGUUGUUUUACUAGAAGAAUUGGACCCUUGCCAACUAACGAACGUGGACUGCCUAACGAAGAAGUUAAGUGAAAAGGAGACAUACCCAAACAGAACUUGAUGAGGGGCAAUCUGAGAAGGCUGAUUGUAUUUAAGAUUUCUUUUAGAUCUAGUAUUUAUUUUGAUGAACAUGGUGACUUUUCAUUUGUAUACAUUAAUAUCAGGAUUUUUUUUUAAAUAAUAUUAGCAUGCU